rnacentral:rRNA from 1 species
AUUGAACGCUGGCGGCAUGCCUUACACAUGCAAGUCGAACGGCAGCACGGGAGCAAUCCUGGUGGCGAGUGGCGAACGGGUGAGUAAUAUAUCGGAACGUGCCCAGUCGUGGGGGAUAACGUAGCGAAAGCUACGCUAAUACCGCAUACGAUCUAUGGAUGAAAGCGGGGGAUCGCAAGACCUCGCGCGAUUGGAGCGGCCGAUAUCAGAUUAGGUAGUUGGUGAGGUAAAGGGCUCACCAAGCCGACGAUCUGUAGCUGGUCUGAGAGGACGACCCAGCCACACUGGGACUGAGACACGGCCCAGACUCCUACGGGAGGCAGCAGUGGGGGAAUAUUGGACAAUGGGCGAAGCCUGAUCCAGCAAUGCCGCGUGAGUGAUGAAGGCC